rnacentral:misc_RNA from 1 species
GGAAAUCACUAUCCUCAUCAGUUAGUCAUGACAUCUAUGGUGUGGUAACCUCAUUUUGGCGGGAAAAUAUAUAGGAUGGCAGGUGUAUUCUCAUCAGUCAUAUUUCAAAUAUACAAUUUUCAAUUGAAUAUCUGACUAUUAGUGCAUUGUCUUUGUUUUCUGAUAUUGUAUAUAAGCCCUUCUAACUUAAGAUAUUGUUUGGGGUUGACAGAAAAUUAUCUUUUAUUGUCAUUUCUAGAUUUCAAUUAUUGAAGAAUAGUUUAUCUAGUCUCCACAGGAGGUUCAUGGAAGAUUUACCAAGCCAAUAAUGU